rnacentral:lncRNA from 1 species
GCCAGGUGGUUCUCACAAUGCAUCCAAGAGGAACUGAAUGUUACACUGGAUGCCAGCCGUGUGGUUGGCCUCAAGCUGGGGUUCGUUUGAGCCCAUGGCAGCAGCAGUCACACCCAAAAGGUCAGCAGGAGGCAACCAUGGAUGUCCUGCGGCUCAUCUCUCGGCUGGCUGGCUAGAGACUGUUGUGCUUCACAAAAAAUGGUAUGAGCGAGGGCUCCUUGAGCUCCUGAACCAUGCUAGGGCUUUUGAGGGAGGCAGGCAGGGUGAAGGAAGACUGAGAUAUCAGGAACCCGUGGCUCUCCUGGAGGCCUUUUGCCUACUGAGUCCCUGGGGGUCUCAAUGAAUGGCAAUGCCCUGCUCACUUUUCAACGGGGUUAUGUCCCCAGCGAUGUAUUCUCUCUGAUUCUAUAACCAUUCCUUUUCAGAGGGCUGUAUGCAAGCUGUGGAGAGCUUGAGUGCCCGGCCUGCCCACUGUUCAUAUAGAUUCUCCCUGAUGGAGCCUAGCAUCACAGUGACCACACUUCAUGCUAGCCAGCAGCUCAACUUGGCUCUGCAAGGAGAACGAUGCCAGGUGGUUCUGACAAUGUGUGGAAGAGGAACUGAAGGUUUCACUAAAUGACAGCCGU